UUUCCGUGAAUAUUUCUAUCAAUCAACCACGAUAAAUGUAUAAUUUUAUUUUAUCACAGAAUAAUAAUAAGAUUUGAAAAACAGUUACCAAAAGGAUAUUCAGACUGUAUGGGACACACUUUUUUCACUUCUGCACAAAAUAAUUGUAAUAUGUCUUGAACAUUUCUGAAAAAUUUAAGAGAUCAGUAUUAAUAAUUAAUUAAUGGACAACUUCAACAUCGGGUCCUUUUACAAGACAAACCUACCAUCAUAGUGCAUGAAAUUGUUGUCACCGUUUUUGGACGUCAAGAUAUUAAACAAGCAAACCACAAGGAAUGCCAGUACAAUAUACAAACAUAAUUUUUUCGACAACAGUUUUUUCAUCGUGAAUGUUAUUCGUCAACGAGCACGUACAGUCUAGUUACUUGACUUCAAAUACAUAAAACGCUUCUAAAGUCGAAAUUUUCAAGAACAUACCGGAGUUUUGUGAAGUACAAUACUGAGUUCACAAGACUGUACCGACAAAAUUUAAAACUGUUAAUCAGACGAUGGGGAGAUGAUCGAUUUUAUUACCUAUUGAGUACUGUGUGACUAUGAGAGUUGAAUAUUACUGUAGAUGAAAAAGAAUAUUAAAAUACUAUGUUUUUUGUAA